CCUACGUGUGGCAGCAGUGAGGAAUAUUGGUCAAUGGGCGCGAGCCUGAACCAGCCAAGUAGCGUGAAGGAUGACUGCCCUACGGGUUGUAAACUUCUUUUAUAAAGGAAUAAAGUGAGGCACGUGUGCCUUUUUGUAGGUACUUUCUGAAUAAGGAUCGGCUAACUCCGUGCCAGCAGCCGCGGUAAUACGGAGGAUCCGAGCGGUAUCCGGAUUUAUUGGUUUUAAAGGGAGCGUAGAUGGGAUGUUAAGUCAGUUGGGAAAGGUUGCGGCUCAACCGUCAAAGUGCAAUUGAUACUGGCAGCCUUGAGUACAGUUGAGGUAGGCGGAAUUCGUGGUGUAGCGGUGAAAUGCUUAGAUAUCACGAAGAACUCCGAUUGCGAAGGCAGCUUACUAAACUGCCACUGACAUUGAUGCUCGAAAGUGUGGGUAUCAAACAGGAUUAGAUACCCCUGUAGUC
rnacentral:rRNA from 1 species